AUUCAGAUGACGAGUCCCAAAUAGGACGACACGUACGUCCUGGAU
rfam:Schistosoma haematobium scaffold46_47, whole genome shotgun sequence.